rnacentral:rRNA from 1 species
UACGUAGGCAGCAAGCGUUGUUCGGAGUUACUGGGCGUAAAGGGUGCGUAGGCGGCUCUAUAAGUAUGGUGUGAAAUCUCCCGGCUUAACUGGGAGGUGCGCUAUAGACUGUGGGCUAGAGUGUGGGAGAGGAAGUGGAAUUCCUGGUGUAGCGGUGAAAUGCGUAGAUAUCAGGAGGAACACCGGUGGUGUAAACGGCUUUCUGGACCAUAACUGACGCUGGAGGCAACGAAAGCGUGGGUAGCAAACAGG